AUGGACCCAAUCGUAUAAAAAAUGAAAUAUAAAGUUGCAUCUUUUAUUUUUUACAUGUCUCAAUUUAGUCAAAACUAUGUAAAACGUGUUUCAUCAUUUAAAAAAGAAAUUGUGUAACGUGAUUCCCAGCCAACCAUGUUUUUUUAGAAGAAAUGUGCACGCAUUUUUUUUCCUUUUCUUUUGACGGGAUGUACGCCGCUCCUUUUAGUUGUGCUAGUGUAAAAACACAUUUCCUUUCUUCUUUGCCUGUGAAGGCUAGUUGAAAGUAACUGAGGCGGCCCGUCCAUGGGUGAUUUUGCCCCAAAUCUCAGUGCCCUACCCAUCCAUGGGGCGAUGCCGUACCAAAUCGCAAGGGGAAAAAUAAAUAGAUGUUGCUGCCCCAAAUCCGACCUGCCCGUCCAUGGGGAGAUGCAUCAGUCGUUCCCCUCCAGCAUCCUUAAUCCAUCCGCACGCACCACCUCUUCCAUUAGCCGGCUGAUUAAGAUCUCUCUGCUUGCCAUCACCAAAUUGAUUCCCAAACCAUCACGGCUGAUUCAUUCCUUCCCAUUUCUCUUCGUGUAGGUACUGGCGCAUUCUCAAGGAUGUGGAUUCUCGACGACCUCGUGGAGUCCGGCGGAGCGUUCUCAAGGGUUUCCGCCAAGAUGAUGACCUCUUCUUGGCGUACGACUAGAGGUCCAUGGCAGAGGUGUUGUAGUUUGGCCCAGUGGAGGAGGCUGCGAGGGAAAUCACCGAGUCACCUACUGAAUGUGUUAUAUUAGAUCUGACAUCUAGAGAAUACAAAUAGCAGCCAACGACCAUGAGAUGCUGGCCUCCUCAUUGUUCUUGCUGCCAGGCUACCACUAACUGUUUGUUGAGCAGCUCACUUGUGCCAGCAAGACGCCAUUGAUUUGCUUAUAUCAAAUCCUGCUAUUAAGUUACUGAUGAAGCAAGGUCUCGUAUCACAGAGAUUGAUGGUAUCAUUUUUUGAAAUUCUGAUGCAUUACCUGGUCUGACUGGUUUCCGUGCCUCAUUGUAGUCAGAAGUGCUUUGGCGUCAAUUCUUCCAACGUCGCUUCGUCGGGUGUCGAGCGUGCUUACGCGUGACUUUGUCGGGCGUCGAGUGAAGCGGCUGGACGUGGCUUUUCGUCUGGACGUUGAGUCAGAAGUGCUUUGGCGUCAAUUCUACCGACAUUGCUUCGUCGGGCGUCGAGCGUGCUUACACACGUGACUUUGUCGGGCGUCGAGUGAAGCGGCUGGACGUGGCUUUUCGUCUGGACGUUGAGUUGCGUGUGGCGUGUUCAAGUCGCCGUGGUCGUUGGCUUGUAAUUGUUUGGUGGGUACUUGUGCGGGCGUGUGUACUUAUUUAUAUAUGGAUUUAGGUGUCUUGGGUUGUGGUGGUCGGGACCGGCUGGAAAUCAGAUGCCCACACCGUGUGCUAAUCAGACUUGUUUUGUUUGUGUGUAUUCAUUCCUGAUGUGGAACUUUCCUCACGUGAGGUAGUUGUCCUUGUACGGUUAAUAAUAGGUUCCUUAUUUGUUUA